rnacentral:tRNA from 6 species
UGCCCUGUCGUCUAAAGGUAAGACCACGGACUCUGACUCCGUUAAUUGAGGUUCGAAUCCUCACGGGGCAUCCA